GAUCAUGGCUCAGGAUGAACGCUAGCUACAGGCUUAACACAUGCAAGUCGAGGGGGCAGCAUGUAUCUGGCUUGCCAGAUACGAUGGCGACCGGCGCACGGGUGAGUAACGCGUAUCCGACCUGGCCGCACACUCCGGGAUAGCCUUGCGAAAGCAAGUUUAAUACCGGAUGCCGUAAGGACGCCGCAUGGUGUUUUACGAAAGGGUUUACCGGUGUGCGAUGGGAUGCGUCCA
rnacentral:rRNA from 1 species